AACGAACGCUGGCGGCAUGCCUAACACAUGCAAGUCGAGCGAGACCUUCGGGUCUAGUGGCGCACGGGUGCGUAACGCGUGGGAACCUGCCCUUAGGUUCGGAAUAACUCCCCGAAAGGGGUGCUAAUACCGGAUAAUGUCUUCGGACCAAAGAUUUAUCGCCUUUGGAUGGGCCCGCGUUGGAUUAGCUAGUUGGUAGGGUAAAAGCCUACCAAGGCGACGAUCCAUAGCUGGUCUGAGAGGAUGAUCAGCCACACUGGGACUGAGACACGGCCCAGACUCCUACGGGAGGCAGCAGUGGGGAAUAUUGGACAAUGGGCGAAAGCCUGAUCCAGCAAUGCCGCGUGAGUGAUGAAGGCCUUAGGGUUGUAAAGCUCUUACCCGGGAUGAUAAUGACAGUACCGGGAGAAUAAGCUCCGGCUAACUCCGUG
rnacentral:rRNA from 1 species